AGCCUAUUAGCUCAAAUUGGUAGAGCAUUGUGUGUUAUUGUAUUGCACAAAGAUGUAGGUUCGAAUCCUACAUGGGUUU
rnacentral:tRNA from 1 species